UACAGAGGUCCCAAGCGUUGUUCGGAUUCACUGGGCGUAAAGGGUGCGUAGGUGGUGAGGUAAGUCGGAUGUGAAAUCUCCGGGCUCAACCCGGAAAUGGCAUUGGAAGCUACCUUGCUGGAGGAUUUGAGGGGGGAUUGGAAUACUUGGUGUAGCAGUGAAAUGCGUAGAUAUCAAGUGGAACACCAGUGGCGAAGGCGAAUCCCUGGAAAAUACCUGACACUGAGGCACGAAAGCUAGGGGAGCAAACAGG
rnacentral:rRNA from 1 species